rnacentral:tmRNA from 1 species
GGGGGCGUCUUGGAAUCGAAGUAGAAAACAAGAUGCCAAUUGCAUGCCGAGGAAUCUCAGUUGGCCUCGUAAAAACCUCUGAGAAAACAAUAAAUGCUAACACAAGUAGCACUUUCGCAAUGGCGGCUUAAUCGCCUCCGUUGAGAAGCCUAAACGAUAGAGUUGUCCUAACAUCUAUCUGCGGUUAAUAGAAUAGGAAUGACAGCCUGAAAGAAGGAGAGGCCGGAUAAGCGCUCCGCCGGAAGAUAGCCGAAAGGCAUGGCUCGACCAAGCUUUGGCAGACUGGGAAGACAGACAAAGGAUUGCUGAAUGUUCCUUAAACAUCAGAUAAGCAUGUGAAUGAAAUUGGUUUUAAGCUUUUUACUCACAGGAGUUCGAAUCUCCUCGCCUCCACCA